rnacentral:rRNA from 1 species
UAACCUACGGGGCGCAGCAGUGGGGAAUAUUGGGCAAUGGGGGAAACCCUGACCCAGCGACGCCGCGUGAGGGAAGAAGGUUUUCGGAUUGUAAACCUCUGUCCUUGGUGACGAUAAUGACGGUAGCCAAGGAGGAAGCCACGGCUAACUACGUGCCAGCAGCCGCGGUAAUACGUAGGUGGCGAGCGUUGUCCGGAAUUACUGGGUGUAAAGGGGGCGCAGACGGCGAUGCAAGCCAGGAGUGAAAGCCCGGGGCCCAACCCCGGGACUGCUCUUGGAACUGCGUGGCUGGAGUGCAGGAGGGG